rnacentral:rRNA from 1 species
CGUAGGGGGCGAGCGUUGUCCGGAAUUAUUGGGCGUAAAGAGCGUGUAGGCGGUUCGGUAAGUCUGCCGUGAAAACCUGGGGCUCAACCCCAGGCGUGCGGUGGAUACUGUCGGGCUAGAGGGUGGUAGAGGCGAGUGGAAUUCCCGGUGUAGCGGUGAAAUGCGCAGAUAUCGGGAGGAACACCAGUAGUGAAGGCGGCUCGCUGGGCCAUACCUGACGCUGAGACGCGAAAGCGUGGGGAGCAAACAGGAUUAGAUACCCUGGUAGUCCACGCCGUAAACGAUGAACACUAGGUGUGGGCGGAGUCGAAUCUGUCCGAGCCGCAGCCAACGCGUUAAGUGUUCCGCCUGGGGAGUACGGCCGCAAGGCUA